UACGUAGGGGGCGAGCGUUGUCCGAAGUUACUGGGCGUAAAGAGCGCGUAGGCGGGCUUCUAAGUGAGAGGUGAAAGGUUCGGGCUCAACCCGGAGAGUGCCUUUCAUACUGGGAGCCUUGAGUGCGGGAGAGGCAAGUGGAAUGGUCGGUGUAGCGGUGAAAUGCGUAGAUAUCGGGAGGAACACCAGUGGCGAAGGCGGCUUCCUGGCCUGCUCUUGACGCUGAGGUGCGAAAGUGUGGGGAGCGAACAGG
rnacentral:rRNA from 1 species